GGUGUAAACCUCUUUCAGCAGGGAAGAAGCGAAAGUGACGGUACCUGCAGAAGAAGCGCCGGCUAACUACGUGCCAGCAGCCGCGGUAAUACGUAGGGCGCAAGCGUUGUCCGGGAAUUAUUGGGCGUAAAGAGCUCGUAGGCGGUUUGUCGCGUCUGCUGUGAAAACUGAGGCUCAACCUCGGGCUUGCAGUGGGUACGGGCAGACUAGAGUGCGGUAGGGGUGACUGGAAUUCCUGGUGUAGCGGUGGAAUGCGCAGAUAUCAGGAGGAACACCGAUGGCGAAGGCAGGUCACUGGGCCGCAACUGACGCUGAGGAGCGAAAGCAUGGGGAGCGAACAGGAUUAGAUACCCUGGUAGUCCAUGCCGUAAACGUUGGGCACUAGGUGUGGGGCUCAUUCCACGAGUUCCGUGCCGCAGCAAACGCAUUAAGUGCCCCGCCUGGGGAGUACGGCCGCAAGGCUAAAACUCAAAGAAAUUGACGGGGGCCCACACAAGCGGCGGAGCAUGCGGAUUAAUUCGAUGCAACGCGAAGAACCUUACCAAGGCUUGACAUACACCGGAAAAGUGCAGAGAUGUGCUCCCCGCAAGGUCGGUGUACAGGUGGUGCAUGGUUGUCGUCAGCUCGUGUCGUGAGAUGUUGGGUUAAGUCCCGCAACGAGCGCAACCCUCGUCCUAUGUUGCCAGCGGGUCAUGCCGGGGACUCAUAGGAGACUGCCGGGGUCAACUCGGAGGAAGGUGGGGAUGACGUCAAAUCAUCAUGCCCCUUAUGUCUUGGGCUUCACGCAUGCUACAAUGGCCGGUACAAAGGGCUGCGAUACCGCGAGGUGGAGCGAAUCCCAAAAAGCCGGUCUCAGUUCGGAUUGGGGUCUGCAACUCGACCCCAUGAAGUCGGAGUCGCUAGUAAUCGCAGAUCAGCAACGCUGCGGUGAAUACGUUCCCGGGCCUUGUACACACCGCCCGUCAAGUCACGAAAGUCGGUAACACCCGAAGCCGGUGGCCCAACCCUUACGGGGGGGAGCCGUCGAAGGUGGACUAGCGAUG
rnacentral:rRNA from 1 species